rnacentral:pre_miRNA from 1 species
CACAUACUCCCUUCGUCCCAUAUUAACUGCCGAAAUAUUACAUGCAUGUAGACAUGUUUUAGUGUGUAGAUACAUCCAUAUUUAGACAAAUUCACGUCACUUAAUAUGGGACAGAGGGAGUAUUAA